rnacentral:tRNA from 3 species
AGCUUAAUAGUUUAACAUAAAACAUAAAUUUUGUAAAUUUAAAUUAAAUAUUAAUUAUUUUUAAGCUU